rnacentral:rRNA from 1 species
GACGAACGCUGGCGGCGUGCCUAACACAUGCAAGUCGAGCGGAGCUAUUAGCAAUAGUAGUUUAGCGGCGGACGGGUGAGUAACGCGUGGGCAACCUACCUCGGACUGGGGGAUAACACAGGGAAACUUGUGCUAAUACCGCAUAACAUCAUGAAGUGACAUCACUUUAUGAUCAAAGGAGUAAUCCGGUUUGAGAUGGGCCCGCGUCCGAUUAGCUAGUUGGUGAUGUAACGGACCACCAAGGCGACGAUCGGUAGCCGAACUGAGAGGUUGAUCGGCCACAUUGGGACUGAGACACGGCCCAGACUCCUACGGGAGGCAG